UACGUAGGGGGCUAGCGUUGUCCGGAAUCAUUGGGCGUAAAGCGCGCGUAGGCGGCCAGAUAAGUCCGGUGUGAAAGUCACAGGCUCAACCUGUGAAUGCCGCUGGAAACUGUCUGGCUAGAGUCCGGAAGGGGCGAGUGGAAUUCCUGGUGUAGCGGUGAAAUGCGCAGAUAUCAGGAGGAACACCUGUGGUGUAGACGGCUUACUGGACCAUGACUGACGCUGAGGCACGAAAGCGUGGGGAUCAAACAGG
rnacentral:rRNA from 1 species